GACGAGGGGUCCUAGCGUUGUUCGGAAUUAUUGGGCGUAAAGCGUAUGUAGGCGGCCAUUUAAGUCAGGUGUGAAAGCCCCGGGCUCAACCCGGGAAGAGCAUUUGAUACUGAGUGGCUUGAGUAUGGAAGAGGGUAGUGGAAUUCCUGGUGUAGUGGUGAAAUACGUAGAUAUCAGGAGGAACACCGGUGGCGAAGGCGGCUACCUGGUCCUAUACUGACGCUGAGAUACGAAAGCGUGGGGAGCAAACAGG
rnacentral:rRNA from 1 species